GACGAACGCUGGCGGCGUGCCUAACACAUGCAAGUCGAGCGAGUGAAUCUUCUUCGGGAGUGAAGCUAGCGGCGGACGGGUGAGUAACACGUGGGCAACCUGCCUCAUAGAGGGGAAUAGCCUUCCGAAAGGAAGAUUAAUACCGCAUAAGAUUGUAGCUUCGCAUGAAGUAGCAAUUAAAGGAGCAAUCCGCUAUGAGAUGGGCCCGCGGCGCAUUAGCUAGUGGGUGAGGUAACGGCUCACCAAGGCGACGAUGCGUAGCCGACCUGAGAGGGUGAUCGGCCACAUUGGGACUGAGACACGACCCAGACUCCUACGGGAGGCAGCAGUGGGGCAUAUUGCACAAUGGGGGAAACCCUGAUGCAGCAACGCCGCGUGAGUGAUGACGGCCUUCGGGUUGUAAAGCUCUGUCUUCAGGGACGAUAAUGACGGUACCUGAGGAGGAAGCCACGGCUAACUACGUGCCAGCCGCCGCAGUAAAAC
rnacentral:rRNA from 1 species